rnacentral:lncRNA from 1 species
GAACAUGCUUAAAUUUUUUUCACGGACAUAAUUUUUAUACCAAAUGUCAAUAAAAACCAAACCAAACAUUAACAUAUUAAAUAUUACAAAGAUGUGAAAAUUCAGGAGGGUAUGCCUAAAACUCAAAUUUUAGGAAUUAGAAGUAAUUUGAGGGGCAUCCUAAAUUAUGAACCAAGCUCAAGAGACUCAUUACUGUAUAACCGUGUGCCUUUCUCAACAGGAAGUCUGCCAGCACCCAACACCACGGGCGUGCCCACUGAGCCGAGGGCCACGUCCUCCACUAUAUUCCGGCUGUCGGUGUAACCUCGGCUGAAUGGCUGAGCCAGUGUCGAGAAAGGUAUCCUGAUGCUCCACGAGCAGUCUCUUUCUGUGGCAACAUUUACAUGCUGGAGCACAGGGGGCUCGGUGCCCUCGACUUUUAGGGUUGACAGUGAAACCGGAAAGAAGUGACAGGGGUAUAGAUGAGAAGAACUAGCUUUCCAUAGUCAUCUGAAUUGUGUUUACAGCGUGCUUUCAGG